rnacentral:rRNA from 1 species
GAUGAACGCUGGCGGCGUGCUUAACACAUGCAAGUCGAACGGAAAGGCUCCUGCUUGCCGGGGUACUCGAGUGGCAACGGGGGAGUAACACGUGGGUGAUCUUCCCUGCACUUCGGGAUAAGCCUGGGAAACUGGGUCUAAUACCGGAUAGGACGAUGGUUUGGAUGCCAUUGUGGGAAGGUUUUCGGUGUGGGAUGAGCUCGCGGCCUAUCAGCUUGUUGGUGGGGUAAUGGCCUACCAAGGCGUCGACGGGUAGCCGGCCUGAGAGGGUGUACGGCCACAUUGGGACUGAGAUACGGCCCAGACUCCUACGGGAGGCAGCAGUGGGGAAUAUUGCACAAUGGGCGCAAGCCUGAUGCAGCGACGCCGCGUGGGGGAUGACGGCCUUCGGGUUGUAAACUCCUUUCGCUAGGGACGAAGCGCAAGUGACGGUACCUGGAGAAGAAGCACCGGCUAACUACGUG